AAAAAGAUAAGCUAAAUUAAGCUAAUAGGCUCAUACCCUUUAUAUGAGAGUAUAAAGCUCUCUCUUUUUA
rnacentral:tRNA from 1 species